rnacentral:rRNA from 1 species
AGUGAACGCUGGCGGUAGGCCUAACACAUGCAAGUCGAACGGCAGCACAGGAGAGCUUGCUCUCUGGGUGGCGAGUGGCGGACGGGUGAGGAAUACAACGGAAUCGACUUUUUCGCGGGGGACAACGUAGGGAAACUUACGCUAAUACCGCAUACGACCUCCGGUUGAAACCAGGGGAUCCUCGGACCUUGCGCGAUUGAAUGAGCCGAUGUCGGAUGAGCUAGUUGGCGGGGUAAAGGCCCACCAAGGCGACGAUCCGUAGCCGGUCUGAGAGGAUGAUCAGCCACACUGGAACUGAGACACGGUCCAGACUCCUACGGGAGGCAGCAGUGGGGAAUAUUGGACAAUGGGCGCAAGCCUGAUCCAGCCAUACCGCGUGGGUGAAGAAGGCCUUCGGGUUGUAAAGCCCUUUUGUUGGGAAAGAAAUCCAGCUGGUUAAUACCCGGUUGGGAUGACGGUACCCAAAGAAUAAGCACCGGCUAACUUCGUGCCAGCCGCCGCAGUAA